GAGAGAGACAUGCGCGCAUAUCAAUAAGCGGAGGAAAAGAAACUAACAAGGAUUCCCUUAGUAACGGCGAGUGAAGCGGGAAGAGCUCAAAUUUGAAAUCUUCAAGGUUUUACCUUGACGAAUUGUAGUUUAAAGAAGUGUUUUCUGCUGAAGUUUUGGUAAAAGUUCUUUGGAAUAGGACAUCAUAGAGGGUGAGAAUCCCGUAUUUGACCAUUAUUUUCAGCUUUGUGAUACACUUUCAAAGAGUCGGAUUGUUUGGGAAUGCAGUCCAAAAUGGGUGGUAAAUUUCAUCUAAAGCUAAAUAUUGGCGAGAGACCGAUAGCGAACAAGUACCGUGAGGGAAAGAUGAAAAGAACUUUGAAAAGAGAGUUAAACAGUACGUGAAAUUGUCAAAAGGGAAGCGUUUGACACCAGUGUUGUUUUCUCGAAAAUCAAUUAAAAAUGGCUCGAUUUUGUAUUGUUGAGACCUUAAAAGCUCACUGUACAUUUUUCGUGUCUUUUUUAAUGCACUUUUCGUUUAACAAGGUCAACAUCAGUUUCUUUUGUUGUAAAAGGGUCAUUGGAAGGUGGCUUUCUUUUCGGAGAAAGUGUUUAUAGCCUUUGGCCUCUGCAAUCGAAGAGACUGAGGUCUGCAGCGUAGACUCUUCGGGGUUAGAUACAUUUGUGCUAAGUUAUAGCUUUUUAUAGACAACUUGUUGACUAUAAUUAGUCUUGUAGCUUACUCGCUUAUGCUAUUUUACCUACGCUUAGGAUGUUGAAGUCAUCGUAUCGCGC
rnacentral:rRNA from 1 species